GCCCUUUUCCNGUUGAUCCUGCCGGACCCCACUGCUAUCGGGAUAGGACUAAGACAUGCUAGUWGAGCGCUUCAGCCAAAAAGAGGCGCGGCACACAGCUCAGUAACACGUGGCUAAUCUGCCCUUDGGACCGGAACACCCCCGGGAAACUGGGGCUAAUUCUCGAUAGGUGAAGAACUCUGGAAUGAGUCUUUGCCAAAAAGUUGUUAAGGUUAUGCUCUUUGACGACGCCCAAGGAUGAGGCCGCGACCGAUCAGGUUGUUGGUGAGGUAAUGGCUCACCAAGCCUUUUACCGGUGCGGGCCGUGAGAGCGGGAGCCCGGAGAUGGGCACUGAGACAAGGGCCCAGGCCCUACGGGGCGCAGCAGUCGCGAAAACUUUGCAAUAAGCGAAAGCUUGACAGGGCUAUCCCGAGUGCCAUCCGCUGAGGAAGGCUUUUACCCAGUCUAGAACGCUGGGGGAAUAAGGAGAGGGCAAGUCUGGUGUCAGCCGCCGCGGUAAUACCAGCUCUCCGAGUGGUGUGGAUGUUUAUUGGGCCUAAAGCAUCCGUAGCUGGCUAAGUUAGUCCCUUGUUAAAUCCACCGAAUUAAUCGUUGGAUUGCGGGGGAUACUGCUUGGCUAGGGGACGAGAGAGGCAGACGGUAUUUCCGGGGUAGGGGUGAAAUCCUAUAAUCCCGGGAAGACCACCAGUGGCGAAGGCGGCUUGCCAGAACGCGCUCGACGGUGAGGGAUGAAAGCUGGGGGAGCAAACCGGAUUAGAUACCCGGGUAGUCCCAGCUGUAAACGAUGCAGACUCGGUGAUGAGUUGGCUUCUUGCCAACUCAGUGCCGCAGGGAAGCCGUUAAGUUUGCCCUCUGGGCGAGUACGGUCGCAAGACUUAAACUUAAAGGAAUUUGGCGGGGAGCACACAAGGGGUGAAGCUU
rnacentral:rRNA from 1 species